rnacentral:rRNA from 1 species
AUGGUUAAGUGACUAAGCGUACACGGUGGAUGCCUUGGCAGUCAGAGGCGAUGAAAGACGUAUUAACUUGCGAUAAGCCCAGAUUAGGUAGUAAAAACCAUUUGAGUCUGGGAUUUCUGAAUGGGGAAACCCACGUGCAUAAGCACGUAUCGCUACGUGAAUACAUAGCGUAGCGAGGCGAACCGGGAGAACUGAAACAUCUAAGUACCCCGAGGAAGAGAAAUCAACCGAGAUCCCGAAAGUAGCGGCGAGCGAAAUUGGGUUAGCCCUUAAGCUUUUAAUGAGACAGGUGAAGGCUCUGGAAAGUGCCGCGAUACAGGGUGAUAGCCCCGUAACCGACAUCUCAUCAUCAGUGAAAACGAGUAAGGCGGGACACGUGAUAUCCUGUCUGAAUAUGGGGGGACCAUCCUCCAAGGCUAAAUACUACUGACUGACCGAUAGUGAACCAGUACCGUGAGGGAAAGGCGAAAAGAACCCCUGUGAGGGGAGUGAAAUAGAACCUGAAACCGUGUACGUACAAGCAGUAGGAGCACCUUCGUGGUGUGACUGCGUACCUUUUGUAUAAUGGGUCAGCGACUUAUAUUCAGUGGCAAGGUUAACCGUUUAGGGGAGCCGUAGGGAAACCGAGUCUUAACUGGGCGUUCAGUCUCUGGAUAUAGACCCGAAACCAGGUGAUCUAGCCAUGGGCAGGUUGAAGAUUGAGUAACAUCAAUUGGAGGACCGAACCGACUAAUGUUGAAAAAUUAGCGGAUGACUUGUGGCUAGGGGUGAAAGGCCAAUCAAACCUGGAGAUAGCUGGUUCUCCCCGAAAUCUAUUUAGGUAGAGCCUCGGACGAAUACUACUGGGGGUAGAGCACUGUUAAGGCUAGGGGGUCAUCCCGACUUACCAACCCUUUGCAAACUCCGAAUACCAGUAAGUACUAUCCGGGAGACACACGGCGGGUGCUAACGUCCGUCGUGGAGAGGGAAACAACCCAGACCGCCAGCUAAGGUCCCAAAGUUAUAGUUAAGUGGGAAACGAUGUGG